ensembl:lncRNA
CUGCUCAUCAUAUUGUUGUGCGUCUGCAGUCAUUUAGCCCUGAUCAGGUAAUUGGCCAGUGUGCACAAGAGAGCUAACACAGGAGGCUAACAUCACAGUUGCAGAAGGCAACAAAUGGUGCCCCGUGUGAGGCAGAAGAUUGUGUUUGAUGCCCUUUGUGCAAAUACCAGAGCUGGGGUGAUGACAGCCUGACUAGCCCGCAGCGGCAGGGAGCCCUGCAGAAGACCGAGGCGAUGGCGGUAUUGCGCACAAGUGUAGCCUGCAGCACGGAAACCUGAGGUGAUGGCAGGGCGCUUGCAGAAGACUGAGGUGAUGGUGGUAUUGAUUGCAAGUGUAGCCUGCAGACGAUUGGGGUGAUGCCCUGCAGAAGAUCGUGGUGACGACGAUAGUGCCGGCUGGCAAGUAGAACCUGUGUUGCGGUGUGGUCUGGGGAGGAUGACAGGACGCCCACGGAGACCCAUGGUGACGGCGGUCUCCCGAGGUGACAGCAAAGAGUUGACCAUGGAACAUGUUCUUAAGGUAUUGCUUCAGUUUUGUAAAGAUUACUUUGGCAAGAAUGGUCCUUCUAAGAAGGAUAUCCACGCAGUUAUUUCCUGGUUAGAGUGGGAGGGGGAGUUUAAAGCCCCCCAAGAGAUCCUUGAUCACCGGAGGUGGGAUGAUCUCACCUCUGCGUUCGCGCAACAUAUUAUGAGAGCUCAGGAGGGCGGGUCUGAGUUAAAAACUUGGGGUCUGAUACUGGGGGCAUUGAAAGCAGCCAGAGUGGAGGGAAAGGUAUUGGUGGAGGCUCGAUACCUUUUGGGUCUUGGCGGUGGAGGCAAGACACUGGACCCAGGGGGGUCCGAUGGGGGCUCGGGAGCAGUUUCUUGCAGGGGCCGAGAGGAGACGGAGCCGCCAAUGACCGUUGGCGAGAUGGCACCGGCUGAGCCGACUGCACUCAGUUCAAAAGAAGACAAACAACAAGAGAGCGAAUGUUCGUUGUCUCAUCCCCCGCCCCCGUAUCCGGACCCCUCAGGCGAACGUUACUCUUAACUGAUUUAUGGAGGUGGCAAAUGAUGGGUGCUACCGUGUGACAAUCAACAUCACUUUGACAUUUGAAAGCACCUUCCUCCAGAGCUGCUUGCCUCCGGAAGAGAGUGCUCAGGAGUGGUUACUGGCGGAAGAUCUGGCCUAAUAGCCCCAGCUUGGUGUGGGAAAACUGGGGAACAAUACCAUCGUGCCCUGUGAGAAACAGGAUGCAGAUGGGCAUCCCUGCUUCCUCUUAUCUGUUGGCAAGGCCCGGAAGAUGAUAACAAAGGAAUUUCUGCUGAGAUCCCAGAGCCAGUAGCUGCCACUCCAAGGAGAGCUGACUCAACCAAUUUGGACUUACAAAUAAGUUUGUACUGCCAUCGUUGUCGUGUUCGCUGCUGUGGUCACCACUGUCAACAAAAGACUCGACGACCCACCACUACUGAAAAUCAAUGACUGAACUACGAACCACGUUGGACUAUGGUGGUGACUAUCUCCCUCCUGCUUCCUAUACGGACUCCUUGCUUCUAUUUCCUAUCUUUUCUAUCGCCCUUCUCCUCUUCCCCAUCUCCCUGAAUGACUAGGAUUUGUAAUAAACUGGUUGGACCAACAUUUGAACCAUUGUUUCCUAAUCUCAUGCCAGGUAUACACACAUCAAAAACCUCAUCUCCCUCCGAUAAACUGGAGUGAGACAGUCCUGCUUUAAAUAACUUCACAUGUAUAUGAUAACAGUAGCUAAAUCAGUACAGACACAAUGCCAUCAUAGGUCACUUUGUUGUUAAGAGUAUACUGAUAUCACUGAACUCGAGGGGAUGUAACUGUGCUCACCCAGUCUUAGAUUUCUACUACAUAGACAGCUAAAUAUAAACCAAGUAUCCAAACGUCCGUACGUCGCAUAACUUUCAUGUAGCACAUAUGCCAAAAGAAGCAACAUACAUAUAAAGACAAAAAUUUACUGUUAGUCUCAUUGAAAUGUUAAUGCAGAAUUUACAUGAAGUGCAUUUACAGUGAUGCUAACAAUUAUACUCCAAGAAUCAAGUUAAAGUGCCUCAUUGCUAAUAGAAAUAACUACGCUUUUCCUUGUGUAAAUAACUGAAGUGUAAUUAAUACCCUUUCCCCUGAUAUCAUAGUCACUUUUUUGAAUAUCCCUCUCAGCCAAGAGCUGACAGUGUUACUCUUCACUGUAAAGAAUGAACAUGGACGAUCAGUAUUAACUCAGUUAUUUUCAGUGGUUAAAUAAGGACAACAGAAUACUAUCUACAGAAUGUUUCAAGUUUUGGUUAAAAUUCCUAGGUAAAAGCAUCUAGAUACAAUAUUACCUCCCUCUUUCAAAAUAAGAUACUGCUUAUAACUGCAAUCAUACCCAUGAUCUCGAUUCUUUACUGAAAUACAUUAAAAAAAAAAAAAAAAAAAAAAAAGUUCAUUUUAUAACAGUGCCAUUUUUUAAAAAAUGUAUAGUCUAUCAGGUUAUUUAUUUCCUCCCCCAAAAAACAGCUA